AUGAACCAUCCAAUCUCCUGCCUCGAGUAUUGAAGCCUGGCUACUGUGACUGUGGGGAAGGGAUUAAUGGUCUCAGCAUUCAGCCAACAACAAUACCUGCUCACUAUAAGCAUUCAGAAAACAGAAAAGUUUCAAGAAGCAGGAAGAAAAGACUCACCUAUGAUCCCAACACCCAGAGAUAAGAGUCCUGAAGCUCAGAUGACACAGCUGAUAACAGGGAAGCCAGGACAGAAUCUCAUUGUUUUGAACACCAAAACCCGUUCCCUUGACAACUUGGCUAUACUACACUAUUCGAAUGUUGCAGAUACUGUGGUCACAUUUCAAAGGCCAGAUCUUUCCCAGGGCUUAAGCUGUUCCUUGGAUACUUUUGGUAAGUCAUUUAUCCACUAAUCAUUUAGUAAUCGUCUCUGACAUGCCAAACACCCUGCUCAGGGCUGGAAAUGCAGAACCUGGGAAGCCACUGGCCUUGUCCUCAAGAUCUCUCUCUGGCUCCCUUUGAAUUUGCUAAUUCAGACUUUCACAUUUCCCCCAGGAAAAAUCAUAAGGACCAAAUCAUAUCCGUUUUCUCAAAUGGCUUCAAAGACCCAUGUCAUCGUUUGGCAUCAUGUAAUUCUUUACUGAUGUACUUUAAGAGUCACGUUUUAUUCUCUUUAUGCAGCUGUCAAGGACAGACACAAAGAGUGGGGGUGUCUUCCUCACUAAAUACUUUCCCACAACA
ensembl:lncRNA novel transcript